AUGAACGCUGGCGGCGUGCCUAAUACAUGCAAGUCGAGCGGUAAGGCCUCUUCGGAGGUACACGAGCGGCGGACGGCUGAGUAACGCGUAGGAACGUACCCCAAACUGAGGGAUAAGCACCAGAAAUGGUGUCUAAUACCGCAUGUGCUCUAAGGAGUAAAGCUUCGGCGGUUUGGGAACGGCCUGCGUACGAUUAGAUUGUUGGUGAGGUAAUGGCUCACCAAGUCGACGAUCGUUAGCUGGUCUGAGAGGAUGAUCAGCCAGACUGGGACUGAGAACGGCCCAGACUCCUACGGGAGGCAGCAGUAGGGAAUUUUCCACAAUGGACGAAAGUCUGAUGGAGCAACGCCGCGUGCAGGAUGAAUGCCUUAGGGU
rnacentral:rRNA from 1 species